rnacentral:rRNA from 1 species
AGUAGGUCUGCAGACAGCUCAUUAAAUCAGCUACAAUCUACGCGGAGAAACUGCCUUUCGGCAGACUAUUGGAUAACUUUGGUAACCCCAAAGCUAAUACAUGUCAGCAAAACCCGCACAGAUUCAACCUCGGGGCCUCUGGUUCUGGGGCUGUGUUGGGUGCAAUUGACCGAAACAAAAACCAACGCUAGCAAUAGCAGCGGUGAUUGGAUGACUCAGGUCAAUCGAGUAGUAGCGCAUACUUCGGUGGCGCUUGUCCGCAUGAGCAUCUGCCCUAUCAGCUUUUGACGGUAGUGUAGUGGACUACCGUGGCUGUAACGGGUAACAGGGAAUUAGGGUUCGAUUCCGGAGAGGGAACCUGAGAAACGGCUACCACAACUAAGGUUGGCAGCAGGCGCGCAAAUUGCCCAAUAGCAACACAUCGCUGAGGCAGCGAAGAGAAAUAGCAACUUCAUGCGGCCCUGCCGUGUGAAGAUUGCCAUGGACGAUAUCUAAACCUGUCGGUGAGUAUCAAUUGGUGGACAAGUCUGGUGCCAGCACCCGCGGUAAUUCCAGCACCAAUAGCGUAUAUUAAUGCUGCUGCUGUUAAAAGCUCGUAGUUGGAUCAAGAGUUGGACCGUGCACGGUGGCCCCGUUAGCUCAGCUGGCUCCGGUCAGAUGGGCGGCGGCGGAUCAACCCCGUGCGCCAAACAGUCCACUCUAACAGACCGAAGCGGUUCCCUGUGAGUAGGCUCCUUCAUUGGGGCUGAAAGCGCUUAUGCAUACGGGACGUCGGUCAAAGUUACUGUGAACAAACCAGCGUGUCCAAAACAGGCUUUCGCCUGAAUGUUCGAGCAUGGAAUAAUCAAGGGAUCGAUUCUCUCGGUUCUUUUUGUUGGGUUUUAACCCGAGAAGGAGUAAUUCAGGCCACGGUGUCUGAGUUGGGUUUCCCUUCGCUUCGGCGGGGGCCCCAAUUAGGCCGUGUUCUUACGGGAUAAAUAGGGACUGACGGGGUCGUACGUACUUCCACGUCAGAGGUGAAAUUCUUAGAUUGUGGGAAGACGAACUUCUGCGAAAGCAUUCGACAAGAAUGUCUUCAUUAAUCAAGAACGAGAGUGUGGGGAUCGAAGAUGAUCAGAUACCGUCGUAGUCCACUACUGUAAACAGUGCCGUCUCAGGAUUGAGAAGUGAACAGAAUGACUUUCACAGCACUAACCCCUGAAACGAGAAAUCAAAGAUUAUGGGUUGCAGGGGGGAGUACAUUCGCAAGGCUGGAACUUAAAGGAAUUGACGGAAUGACACCACAAGGCGUGGAGUAUGCGGCUUAAUUUGACUCAACACGGGGAAUUUUACUAGGUCAGGACAAUGUAAGGAUUGACAGAUUGAGCCCUAUCAAUAUUCUGCAGUAGAA